UCGAGUGGCGAACGGGUGAGUAACACGUGGGUAAUCUGCCCUGCACUUCGGGAUAAGCCUGGGAAACUGGGUCUAAUACCGGAUAGGACCUUUUGGCGCAUGCCUUUUGGUGGAAAGCUUUUGCGGUGUGGGAUGGGCCCGCGGCCUAUCAGCUUGUUGGUGGGGUGACGGCCUACCAAGGCGACGACGGGUAGCCGGCCUGAGAGGGUGUCCGGCCACACUGGGACUGAGAUACGGCCCAGACUCCUACGGGAGGCAGCAGUGGGGAAUAUUGCACAAUGGGCGCAAGCCUGAUGCAGCGACGCCGCGUGGGGGAUGACGGCCUUCGGGUUGUAAACCUCUUUCAGCAGGGACGAAGCGCAAGUGACGGUACCUGCAGAAGAAGCACCGGCCAACUACGUGCCAGCAGCCGCGGUAAUACGUAGGGUGCGAGCGUUGUCCGGAAUUACUGGGCGUAAAGAGCUCGUAGGUGGUUUGUCGCGUUGUUCGUGAAAACCGGGGGCUUAACCCUCGGCGUGCGGGCGAUACGGGCAGACUGGAGUACUGCAGGGGAGACUGGAAUUCCUGGUGUAGCGGUGGAAUGCGCAGAUAUCAGGAGGAACACCGGUGGCGAAGGCGGGUCUCUGGGCAGUAACUGACGCUGAGGAGCGAAAGCGUGGGGAGCGAACAGGAUUAGAUACCCUGGUAGUCCACGCCGUAAACGGUGGGUACUAGGUGUGGGUUUCCUUCCUUGGAAUCCGUGCCGUAGCUAACGCAUUAAGUACCCCGCCUGGGGAGUACGGCCGCAAGGCUAAAACUCAAAGGAAUUGACGGGGGCCCGCACAAGCGGCGGAGCAUGUGGAUUAAUUCGAUGCAACGCGAAGAACCUUACCUGGGUUUGACAUGCACAGGACGCCGGCAGAGAUGUCGGUUCCCUUGUGGCCUGUGUGCAGGUGGUGCAUGGCUGUCGUCAGCUCGUGUCGUGAGAUGUUGGGUUAAGUCCCGCAACGAGCGCAACCCUUGUCUCAUGUUGCCAGCGGGUAAUGCCGGGGACUCGUGAGAGACUGCCGGGGUCAACUCGGAGGAAGGUGGGGAUGACGUCAAGUCAUCAUGCCCCUUAUGUCCAGGGCUUCACACAUGCUACAAUGGCCGGUACAAAGGGCUGCGAUGCCGUAAGGUUAAGCGAAUCCUUUUAAAGCCGGUCUCAGUUCGGAUCGGGGUCUGCAACUCGACCCCGUGAAGUCGGAGUCGCUAGUAAUCGCAGAUCAGCAACGCUGCGGUGAAUACGUUCCCGGGCCGUGUACACACCGCCCGUCACGUCAUGAAAGUCGGUAACACCCGAAGCCA
rnacentral:rRNA from 1 species